rnacentral:misc_RNA from 1 species
UACGAAGGCCCCAAGCGUUAUCCGGAAUCAUUGGGCGUAAAGGGUGCGUAGGCGGCUUUGUGCGUCUCUUGUUAAAUGUCACCGCUCAACGGUGUCGCCGCAAGGGAUACGACAAGGCUAGAGGACGCGAGAGGUUUGCGGAACUCACGGUGUAGGGGUGAAAUCCGUUGAUAUCGUGGGGAACACCAAAGGCGAAGGCAGCAAACUGGCGCGUUUCUGACGCUGAGGCACGAAAGCGUGGGGAGCAAAAAGG